rnacentral:rRNA from 1 species
UACGAAGGGGACUAGCGUUGUUCGGAAUCACUGGGCGUAAAGCGUGCGUAGGUGGUUUGUUAAGUCUGAUGUGAAAGCCCUGGGCUCAACCUGGGAACGGCAUUGGAAACUGGCUUACUAGAGUGCGGUAGAGGGGUGUGGAAUUCCCGGUGUAGCAGUGAAAUGCGUAGAUAUCGGGAGGAACAUCUGUGGCGAAGGCGACACCCUGGACCAGCACUGACACUGAGGCACGAAAGCGUGGGGAGCAAACAGG